GAUGAACGCUAGCGGCAGGCUUAAUACAUGCAAGUCGUGGGGCAGCAGGGUUGUAGCAAUACGAUCGCUGGCGACCGGCAAACGGGUGCGUAACACGUACGCAACCUUCCCGUUACUGUGGCAUAGCCCAGGGAAACUUGGAUUAAUACCACAUAUUAUAUUGAUGAGGCAUCUCAUUGAUAUCAAAGCUUCGGCGGUAACGGAUGGGCGUGCGGUUGAUUAGGUAGUUGGCGGGGUAACGGCCCACCAAGCCUACGAUCAAUAGCUGAUGUGAGAGCAUGAUCAGCCACACGGGCACUGAGACACGGGCCCGACUCCUACGGGAGGCAGCAGUAAGGAAUAUUGGGCAAUGGACGAAAGUCUGACCCAGCCAUGCCGCGUGAAGGAUUAAGGUCCUCUGGAUUGUAAACUUCUUUUCUCUGGGGCGAAAACCAGCUAUUCUUAGCUAUUUGACAGUACCAGAGGAAUAAGCACCGGCUAACUCCGUGCCAGCAGCCGCCGUAA
rnacentral:rRNA from 1 species